rnacentral:rRNA from 1 species
GAUGAACGCUGGCGGCGUGCCUAAUACAUGCAAGUCGAGCGAACGGACGAGAAGCUUGCUUCUCUGAUGUUAGCGGCGGACGGGUGAGUAACACGUGGAUAACCUACCUAUAAGACUGGGAUAACUUCGGGAAACCGGAGCUACUACCGGAUAAUAUUUUGAACCGCAUGGUUCAAAAGUGAAAGACGGUCUUGCUGUCACUUAUAGAUGAAUCCGCGCUGCAUUAGCUAGUUGGUAAGGUAACGGCUUACCAAGGCAACGAUGCAUAGCCGACCUGAGAGGGUGAUCGGACACACGGGAACUGAGAAACGGUCCAGACUCCUACGGGAGGCAGCAGUAGGGAAUCUUCCGCAAUGGGCGAAAGCCUGACGGAGCAACGCCGCGUGAGUGAUGAAGGUCUUCGGAUCGUAAAACUCUGUUAUUAGUGAAGAACAUAUGUGUAAGUAACUGUGCACAUCUUGACGGUACCUAAUCAGAAAGCCACGGCUAACUACGUG